UGGGGAAUCUUGCACAAUGGGGGCAACCCUGAUGCAGCGACGCCGCGUGAGCGAUGAAGCCCUUCGGGGCGUAAAGCUCUUUCGACCGGAACGAUAAUGACGGUACCGGGAGAAGAAGCUGCGGCUAACUACGUGCCAGCAGCCGCGGUAAUACGUAGGCAGCAAGCGUUGUUCGGAGUUACUGGGCGUAAAGAGUGCGUAGGCGGUUUUCUAAGUUCGGUGUGAAAUCUCCCGGCUUAACUGGGAGGGUGCGCCGAAGACUGGGAAGCUGGAGUGUGGGAAAGGCAGGCGGAAUUCCUGGUGUAGCAGUGAAAUGCGUAGAUAUCAGGAGGAGCACCGGCGGUGUAGACGGCUUGCUAGACCAUAACUGACGCUGAGGCACGAAAGCGUGGGUAGCAAACA
rnacentral:rRNA from 1 species